rnacentral:rRNA from 1 species
UACAGAGGAUGCAAGCGUUAUCCGGAAUGAUUGGCGUAAAGCGUCUGUAGGUGGCUUUUUAAGUCCGCCGUCAAAUCCAGGGCUCAACUCUGGACAGGCGGUGGAAACUACCAAGCUGGAGUACGGUAGGGCAGAGGGAAUUUCCGGUGGAGCGGUGAAAUGUGUAGAGAUCGGAAAGAACACCAACGGCGAAAGCACUCUGCUGGGCCGACACUGACACUGAGAGACGAAAGCUAGGGAGCGAAUGGG